UACGGGGGGGGCAAGCGUUGUUCGGAAUUACUGGGCGUAAAGGGCUCGUAGGUGGCCAACUAAGUCAGACGUGAAAUCCCUCAGCUUAACUGGGGAACUGCGUCUGAUACUGGAUGGCUUGAGUUUGGGAGAGGGAUGCGGAAUUCCAGGUGUAGCGGUGAAAUGCGUAGAUAUCUGGAGGAACACCGGUGGCGAAGGCGGCGUCCUGGACCAAUACUGACACUGAGUGAGCGAAAGCCAGGGGAGCAAACGGG
rnacentral:rRNA from 1 species